GCUAGCAUGGUGUAAUGGAUUGAGUGCUGGACUCACUCCAGAGACCAGGGUUCAAAUCCCUGCUCAGCC